UAUCAGAUUGGUGCAAAAGUAAUUGUGGUUUUUGCCAUAAAAGUAGUGGCAAAAACCUCAAUUGCUCUCGUACCAGCCUAAUA
ensembl:miRNA